rnacentral:rRNA from 1 species
CCGAUCGAGGAUGAGCCCGCGGCGGAUUAGCUUGUUGGUGGGGUAAUGGCCUACCAAGGCGACGAUCCGUAGCUGGUCUGAGAGGACGAUCAGCCACACUGGGACUGAGACACGGCCCAG